GCACCCGCACAAGCGGUGGAGCAUGCUGUUUAAUUCGAAGAUACGCGAAGAACCUUACCUGGGCUUGACAUCCCUCUGACCAUUCUAGAAAUAGAAUUUUCCCUUCGGGGACAGGGGUGACAGGUGGUGCAUGGUUGUCGUCAGCUCGUGUCGUGAGAUGUUCGGUUAAGUCCGAUAACGAGCGCAACCCUUGUCCUUAAUUGCUAACAUUAAGUUGAGAACCUUAAGGAGACCGCCGGUGAUAAACCGGAGGAAGAUGGGGAUGACGUCAAAUCAUCAUGCCCCUUACGUCCAGGGCUACAGGCGUGCUACAAUGGCUGGUAUAAUAAGAUGCAAUAUCGUGAGAUGGAGCAAAUCUCUAAAGCCAGUCCCAGUCCGGAUUGGAGUCUGCAACUCGACUCCAUGAAGUUGGAAUCGCUAGUAAUCCCGAAUCAGAAUGUCGGGGUGAAUACGUUCCCGGGUGUU
rnacentral:rRNA from 1 species